AGCCUUCAUAAUUAGCUCUAUUAUCAUGCAGCUAUACUUGUAUUUACACACAACUAUAUCAGUUAAUGUCAUUGUGCAACUAGAGACGAGAGUGACGCGGAGAAACAAAAUCUGUAAGCCUUACUUGACACAGCUGUUCUUGUUCUGGCAACCGCAAGCACAGGUUGGGCAAGGAGUGAUUGUUUCAUUGUAGAAAGAUGAGAAUGAAACGCAGCAGGUUGGAUUUUUGGAGGCUAGAAACUGUGAGUAGGUGCAGGUGACAUUCCAUGUCACUGCAUAAAGAAAAGUUACACUUGUAAUGCGGAAAUUGCAACAAACUAAAACAUAAGAUGUUCAGAACAAGCUUGGAGGAAAUAAACUUACUGAGGGCCUGGGUUUUUCGUCUACGGUCAGGUGUUAGGAAGACCGUAGAUGGCACUACCUUUGCAGGUCCACAAGUAUACCCUGGUCCUGGACCAAGCAAAGUGAAGUUCUUGGGCAGUUUCACUGUUUUAUUUGAUGUUCCGGCAAGUCCAACGCUCACCUGAAAGGCUGAGACUGAAGCUGUAGGAUCCUGGCCCCAUGCCGCCAUCACACCGCCCUUACAACAAUUGGAGAAUUGCUGGUUGUAAGGGACUCCAGGUAGCAGGUCGACAACCGUGGGGGUCUUUUUACAGCAAUGCGGUAUGUUUCCCUUGAACUUAGAACAGUCUCCUUGCUCUGUAGUUUGAGCCCCCACCAUUGACCAUAGCACUUCUUUCUUAGCCCAUGACCAUGAUAGAGUCCAGCCAGGGCUU
rnacentral:lncRNA from 1 species